GUUUUGUUGUGAUUCAAAUGAAAUAAUGUGAACAUGGAAAAUGAAAAAAAGCCUUUUUCCUGAAAAAGAAUAAGCAAGAAGCGCAAAGAAGUUAAGUACUUGACCAAGUUCACACCAAGAUUUGAACCCAGGUAGUCUUACUUCAGAGCCUACGUUCUUAUCCGUGCCCAUUGCCAGCCUCGAGCUCAUUCGUUUAUGCAAUGCUGUUGUACACUUGGGACUACAGUAUAGUGUGAACAUAACUUUUACAUGCACCAGAAGAUUUGUGUGAUUCGAUUUACUGCUACAUUCACUUUAUUGUGGUGGUCUGGAACCAAACCCACAUCAUCUCUG